rnacentral:rRNA from 1 species
UUUUAUGGAGAGUUUGAUCCUGGCUCAGGAUGAACGCUGGCGGCGUGCCUAAUACAUGCAAGUCGAGCGAACGGACGAGAAGCUUGCUUCUCUGAUGUUAGCGGCGGACGGGUGAGUAACACGUGGAUAACCUACCUAUAAGACUGGGAUAACUUCGGGAAACCGGAGCUAAUACCGGAUAAUAUUUUGAACCGCAUGGUUCAAAAGUGAAAGACGGUCUUGCUGUCACUUAUAGAUGGAUCCGCGCUGCAUUAGCUAGUUGGUAAGGUAACGGCUUACCAAGGCAACGAUGCAUAGCCGACCUGAGAGGGUGAUCGGCCACACUGGAACUGAGACACGGUCCAGACUCCUACGGGAGGCAGCAGUAGGGAAUCUUCCGCAAUGGGCGAAAGCCUGACGGAGCAACGCCGCGUGAGUG